GUCACGAACCCGCCGUUAACCGCGAAAGCGGUAUAACGGGGGCUUGAAAAAGUCCAAACGUGACCAGACUAAGUUCUUAGAGAACUCCGUUAUCUGGGUCAAGACACCUAAGAAUGCGUGCCAGUUUUUAGCUCUGUCGUCUAACUUUAAACAGAUUUAAUCGGGUUAAGUUAGUGAGUUAGACCCAACAAGCCCAGAUAACAUUGUCAAGGCAAAC
rnacentral:sRNA from 1 species